AUUGAACGCUGGCGGCAGGCCUAACACAUGCAAGUCGAACGAGUGGCGGACGGGUGAGUAAUGUCUGGGAAACUGCCCGAUGGAGGGGGAUAACUACUGGAAACGGUAGCUAAUACCGCAUACCAUCGGAUGUGCCCAGAUGGGCUUAGCUAGUAGGUGGGGUAACGGCUUACCUAGGCGACGAUCCCUAGCUGGUCUGAGAGGAUGACCAGCCACACUGGAACUGAGACACGGUCCAGACUCCUACGGGAGGCAGCAGUGGGGAAUAUUGCACAAUGGGCGCAAGCCUGAUGCAGCCAUGCCGCGUGUAUGAAGAAGGCCUUAGGGUUGUAAAGUACUUUCAGCGGGGAGGCGUUACCGACAGAAGAAGCACCGGCUAACUCCGUGCCAGCCGCCGCGGUAAUUC
rnacentral:rRNA from 1 species